UAUAGAUAAAAAUGAAUAGAUAGUGAUAUUGUUUCUUCAGAAUAUUUACAAGAGAUAUUCAAAUUUAUUACAUAGAUAAUUUUACUUAUUAUUCGAUUUAUUAUUUGCUUGUAUAUUAGUAUAAAAUGUUUAAAAGGUGUUGCUCCAUAGAUAUGUCUUUGUCAUUCUUGUUGCUGGGAUCGCUGAGACCAAUUGAGAUCCGUAUGUGAUGACGGAGUUUUAUCAUCUUGUAAUUGCAGAUUAUGAUUGCAGUUGUUCGUGCAAUCAUAGAUGAAUCGAUCUUUGUUUCGAUAAAAUAAAGAAGGAAUUGUGAAGUAGAUUUGUUGUUAAUGUUUUUCGGUUAAUUUGUUUGCGUUUUAUGAUGUUAAAAAACUUUUAGGAAUAUGUUUAUAUGAAUAAUUUGGGUGCAAAGCAGUCAUAGAAUCAAUAUUUAUUCGUAUAAAAUUUUAUUUUUCUUUUUUUCUACAAUCAGAUAUACUGUAGAUUCUUAUAUAUAAAACAAGCAAUAGAUAUUCGCGAAUUAAAUUCAUUGUUUGCCUCUUAAUUAUUAAAUAAUUAUUGCGCAUUUGAGUCAGUGCAUCAUGGAAGAUGAUCAAGGACCUAUUACAUUUCUUUAGAAGAAUAUUGAUUUGCAUUGUCAUUAAAUCAACGUAUUACAAAUUCAAUCUAAUUAAUUUUCUAUCUACGUCGAUUUAUUGCAUUUUGGACUUAUUACGGAACAGCUUACAUAAAUUUCGAACUACAACGGGGCGAGUGUUUUGGAGCUAUUGUGGAUUUUAAGCAGUGAGUGAACAAAUUUAAGUCCCUCCAGUAUAUAUUAUGUCGAGAAUGAAAGAUUCGACUUGACAUGAGUUACUGUUUGUAAUUUUUUUUAUUAAUUGUUGACGAACAUAGCCAUUAAUAAUUAACUUUUUGGAUUUAUUCUUGAAUGGUACAGUUUUAACUGGUUUUUUUAUUGAGCAUAGUUUAGUUUCAUUAGCUUAGGAUAGUAUUUUCUUGUUUUAUUAAUGAGUCAUUUAAUUAAUACGAGUCAUGUAACAACUCUUUGAAGUGUGAUUUAAGUGCGAUUGGUUGUCAUAAUUGGUGACGAAGGCGCUCACACGUUGGCUUCUGCAGCUUUUUGACUA